UACACUCCUACGGGAGGCAGCAGUGGGGAAUUUUGGACAAUGGGCGAAAGCCUGAUCCAGCAAUGCCGCGUGUGUGAAGAAGGCCUUCGGGUUGUAAAGCACUUUUGUCCGGAAAGAAAUCCUUGGCUCUAAUACAGUCGGGGGAUGACGGUACCGGAAGAAUAAGCACCGGCUAACUACGUGCCAGCAGCCGCGGUAAUACGUAGGGUGCGAGCGUUAAUCGAAGUUACUGGGCGUAAAGCGUGCGCAGGCGGUUUGCUAAGACCGAUGUGAAAUCCCCGGGCUCAACCUGGGAACUGCAUUGGUGACUGGCAGGCUAGAGUAUGGCAGAGGGGGGUAGAAUUCCACGUGUAGCAGUGAAAUGCGUAGAGAUGUGGAGGAAUACCGAUGGCGAAGGCAGCCCCCUGGGCCAAUACUGACGCUCAUGCACGAAAGCGUGGGGAGCAAACAGGAUUAGAAACCCGUGUAGUCCCAUGA
rnacentral:rRNA from 1 species